CCAAUAGCGUAUAUUAAAGUUGUUGCAGUUAAAAAGCUCGUAGUUGAAUUUCGGGAUCAGUAGGUUGGUCGUGCCACUGGUACGUACUGGUCUUACUGAUUCCUCCUUCCUGAUGAGCUGUACUGCCAUUAAUUUGGUGUUGCAGGGAAUCUGGACUGUUACUUUGAAAAAAUUAGAGUGUUUAAAGCAGGCUAACGCUUGAAUACAUUAGCAUGGAAUAAUGAAAUAGGACGCUCGAUCCUAUUUUGUUGGUUUCUAGGAUUGACGUAAUGAUUAAUAGGGAUAGUUGGGGGCAUUAGUAUUCAAUUGUCAGAGGUGAAAUUCUUGGAUUUAUUGAAGACUAACUACUGCGAAAGCAUUUGCCAAGGAUGUUUUCAUUAAUCAAGAACGAAAGUUAGGGGAUCGAAGACGAUCAGAUACCGUCGUAGUCUUAACCAUAAACUAUGCCGACUAGGGAUCGGAUGAUGUUAAUUUUUUAAUGACUCAUUCGGCGCCUUACG
rnacentral:rRNA from 1 species